CCUACGGGUGGCAGCAGUGGGGAAUAGUGCACAAUGGGGGAAACCCUGAUGCAGCGACGCCGCGUGAGUGAAGAAGUAUUUCGGUACGUAAAGCUCUAUCAGCAGGGAAGAAAAUGACGGUACCGGACUAAGAAGCCCCGGCUAACGACGUGCCAGCAGCCGCGGUAAGACGUAGGGGGCAAGCGUUAUCCGGAUGUACUGGGUGUAAAGGGAGCGUAGACGGCAGCGCAAGUCUGGAGUGAAAUCCAAUGGCUUCACCAUGGAACUGCUUGGGAAACUUUGCAGCUAGAGUUCAGGAGAGGUACGCGGAAUUCCUAGUGUAGCGGUGAAAUGCGUAGAUAUUAGGAUGAACACCAGUGGCGAAUGCGGCUUACUGGACUGUACCUGCCGUUGCGGCUCGCCCGCGUGGGGAGCAAACAGGAUUAGAUCCCCCAGUAGUC
rnacentral:rRNA from 1 species